AGCAGCCGCGGUAAUUCCAGCUCCAAUAGCGUAUAUUAAAGUUGUUGCAGUUAAAAAGCUCGUAGUUGAAUUUUAGGCCUGGCCGGGCGGUCCGUCUUUGGCGAGUACUGUUCUGUGUCGGGUCUUACCUUCUGGUGAACCGGCAUGUUCUUUAUUGAGUGUACCGGGGAGCCAGGACCAUUACCUUGAAAAAUUAGAGUGUUUAAAGCAGGCAUUUGCUUGAAUAGAUUAGCAUGGAAUAAUAGAAUAGGACGUUGGUUCUAUUUUGUUGGUCUAGGACCACCGUAAUGAUUAAUAGGGAUAGUUGGGGGCAUUAGUAUUCAAUUGUCAGAGGUGAAAUUCUUGGAUUUAUUGAAGACUAACUAUUGCGAAAGCAUUUGCCAAGGAUGUUUUCAUUAAUCAAGAACGAAAGUUAGGGGAUCGAAGACGGUCAGAUACCGUCGUAGUCUU
rnacentral:rRNA from 1 species